rnacentral:snRNA from 1 species
CGGGCUUGGCAGAAUCAGC